GUACGGAGCAAGCGUUGUUCGGAUUUACUGGGCGUAAAGGGCGCGUAGGCGGCGCGGUAAGUCACUUGUGAAAUCUCUGAGCUUAACUCAGAACGGCCAAGUGAUACUGCAGUGCUAGAGUGCAGAAGGGGCAAUCGGAAUUCUUGGUGUAGCGGUGAAAUGCGUAGAUAUCAAGAGGAACACCUGAGGUGAAGACGGGUUGCUGGGCUGACACUGACGCUGAGUGCGCGAAAGCCAGGGGAGCAAACGGGAUUAGAUACCCCGGUAGUCCUGGCCCUAAACGAUGAAUACUUGGUGUCUGGAGUUUCAAUACUCCGGGUGCCGUCGCUAACGUUUUAAGUAUUCCGCCUGGGGAGUACGCUCGCAAGAGUG
rnacentral:rRNA from 1 species